rnacentral:rRNA from 1 species
CCUACGGGCGGCUGCAGUGAGGAAUAUUGGUCAAUGGACGAGAGUCUGAACCAGCCAAGUAGCGUGAAGGAUGACUGCCCUAUGGGUUGUAAACUUCUUUUAUAAAGGAAUAAAACGAGGCACGUGUGCCUUUUUGCAUGUACUUUAUGAAUAAGGAUCGGCUAACUCCGUGCCAGCAGCCGCGGUAAUACGGAGGAUCCGAGCGUUAUCCGGAUUUAUUGGGUUUAAAGGGAGCGUAGAUGGGUUGUUAAGUCAGUUGUGAAAGUUUGCGGCUCAACCGUAAAAUUGCAAUUGAUACUGGCAGUCGUGAGUACCGUUGAGGUAAGCGGAAUUCGUGGUGUAGCGGUGAAAUGCUUAGAUAUCACGAAGAACCCCGAUUGCGAAGGCAGCUUACUAAACUGUAACUGACAUUGAUGCUCGAAAGUGUGGGUAUCAAACAGGAUUAGAUACCCCAGUAGUC